rnacentral:rRNA from 1 species
UCAGUCGACUCCUACGGGGAGGCAGCAGUGGGGGAAUAUUGCACAAUGGGCGCAAGCCUGAUGCAGCCAUGCCGCGUGUAUGAAGAAGGCCUUCGGGUUGUAAAGUACUUUCAGCAGUGAGGAAGGCAGGUACGUUAAUAGCGUGCUUGUUUGACGUUAGCUGCAGAAGAAAGCACCGGCUAACUCCGUGCCAGCAGCCGCGGUAAUACGGAGGGUGCGAGCGUUAAUCGGAAUUACUGGGCGUAAAGCGCAUGCAGGUGGUUCGUUAAGUCAGAUGUGAAAGCCCGGGGCUCAACCUCGGAAUUGCAUUUGAAACUGGCGGACUAGAGUACUGUAGAGGGGGGUAGGAAUUUCAGGUGUAGCGGUGAAAUGCGUAGAGAUCUGAAGGAAUACCGGUGGCGAAGGCGGCCCCCUGGACAGAUACUGACACUCAGAUGCGAAAGCGUGGGGAGCAAACAGGAUUAGAUACCCUGGUAG